rnacentral:rRNA from 1 species
UAGUCCACGCCGUAAACGAUGGAUACUAGGUGUAGGAGGUAUCGACCCCUCCUGUGCCGCCGUUAACACAUUAAGUAUCCCACCUGGGGAGUACGGUCGCAAGACUGAAACUCAAAGGAAUUGACGGGGGCCCGCACAAGCAGUGGAGUAUGUGGUUUAAUUCGAGGCAACGCGAAGAACCUUACCAGGGCUUGACGUCGCCUGACAGCGCUAGAGAUAGCGUGUCUCUUCGGAGCAGGUAGACAGGUGGUGCAUGGUUGUCGUCAGCUCGUGUCGUGAGAUGUUGGGUUAAGUCCCGCAACGAGCGCAACCCUUGCCGUUAUUUGCCAUCAUUAAGUUGGGCACUCUAUCGGGACUGCCGGUGAUAAAUCGGAGGAAGGUGGGGAUGACGUCAAGUCCUCAUGGCCUUUAUGACCAGGGCUACACACGUACUACAAUGGCCGGAACAAAGGGUAGCGACUUCGCGAGUAGUAGCUAAUCCCAUAAAUCCGGUCUCAGUCCGGAUCGGAGU